GUAAUCCUUCUUCUUUCUCACAAACGCAGGGAUUCCUGAUAUCGAUUGAUUGCUGAUCUAAGUUAGGAUUGGAUUUGCGUCUCUAGGGUAACAAUUUGGUGUAGAAUAUUUUUGAGCAUGCUUACGGAUUGGAUUAAAUGUUGAUAAGCAAAAAACAGCGAGUUGACGUCAGUCAAUUUGAAUGGAAACGCUUUGGAAAACCAAGAAUACUGAUAACAGAAACGGGAGAACGAAACUAAAAAAGAGGAAAAGGGAAGAAACCGAAGAUGCAUUUGACAGUUUCACCCGCAUGCGAGAAAGCCAGAAACGAUAGGGAAAAGAAGAA